CAGAGGUCUCGAGCGUUAGGCGGAAUCACUGGGCUUAAAGCGUGUGUAGGCGGAUCGUUAAGUACCUUGUGAAAUCCCACGGCUUAACCGUGGAACUGCUUGGUAUACUGGCGGCCUUGAGCCAGCUAGGGGCUACCGGAACAAAUGGUGGAGCGGUGAAAUGCGUAGAUAUCAUUUGGAACGCCAAUGGUGAAAACAGGUAGCUGGGGCUGUGCUGACGCUGAGACACGAAAGCCAGGGGAGCAAACGGGAUUAGAUACCCCGGUAGUCCUGGCCGUAAACGAUGUCGACUAGAUCGCAGUUCCUUCAACGGUAUUGCGGUCGAAGCAAAAGUGCUAAGUCGACCGCCUGGGAAGUACGGUCGCAAGGCUA
rnacentral:rRNA from 1 species